rnacentral:rRNA from 1 species
GCGUUUCGCCUGGCGGGAGGCCUACACAUGCAAGUCGAGGGGUAACGGCAGUAGCUUGCUACUAGACGAGACCGGCGCACGGGUGAGUAACGCGUAUGUAAUCUGCCUUGUACAGAGGGAUAGCCCAGAGAAAUUUGGAUUAAUACCUCAUAGUAUUACCGAAUCGCAUGAUUCGGUAAUUAAAGCUCCGGCGGUACAAGAUGAACAUGCGUGACAUUAGCUAGUUGGUAAGGUAACGGCUUACCAAGGCUACGAUGUCUAGGGGUUCUGAGAGGAUGAUCCCCCACACUGGUACUGAGACACGGACCAGACUCCUACGGGAGGCAGCAGUGAGGAAUAUUGGUCAAUGGACGCAAGUCUGAACCAGCCAUCCCGCGUGAAGGAUGACUGCCCUAUGGGUUGUAAACUUCUUUUAUAUGCAAAUAAACCUACUUUCGUGAAAGUAGCUGAAGGUAGCAUAUGAAUAAACACCGGCUAACUCCGUGCCAGCAGCCGCGGUAAUACGGAGGGUGUAAGCGUUAUCCGGAUUUAUUGGGUUUAAAGGGUACGUAGGCGGUAAUAUAAGUCAGUGGUGAAAUCCUGCAGCUCAACUGUAGAACUGCCAUUGAAACUGUAUUACUUGAGUAUACUUGAGGUAGGCGGAAUGAGUAGUGUAGCGGUGAAAUGCUUAGAUAUUACUCAGAACACCGAUUGCGAAGGCAGCUUACUAAGGUAUAACUGACGCUGAUGUACGAAAGCGUGGGGAGCGAACAGGAUUAGAUACCCUGGUAGUCCACGCCGUAAACGAUGAUUACUCGCUGUUGGCGAUACACAGUCAGUGGGCUAAGCGAAAGUUUUAAGUAAUCCACCUGGGGAGUACGCUCGCAAGAGUGAAACUCAAAGGAAUUGACGGAGGGC